CUUAACUGUGAGACUGCGUUUGAAACUGUAGGGCUUGAGUACAACAGAGGAGAGCGGAAUUCCUGGUGUAGUGGUGAAAUACGUAGAUAUCAGGAAGAACACCAGUGGCGAAGGCGGCUCUCUGGGUUGAUACUGACGCUCAGGUACGAAAGCCGGGGGAGCAAACGGGAUUAGAUACCCCGGUAGUCCCGGCAGUAAACGAUGGACACCAGGUGUUGGGGGUUCGAAUCCCUCAGUGCCGCAGUUAACGCAGUAAGUGUCCCGCCUGGGGAUUACGGUCGCAAGACUGAAACUCAAAGGAAUUGACGGGGGCCCGCACAAGCGGUGGAGCAUGUGGUUUAAUUCGAUGCAACGCGAAAAACCUUACCGAGAUUUGACAUCCCGUGACUACCUAUGAAAGUAGGGUUUGGCA
rnacentral:rRNA from 1 species